AAUCAUAACGUUUUCCCGGUGGUGGGAAGGACAGCUAUACAAGCAUGCCUGUCGCUGUAGUUUAACCUGUCCUUUAGAUUCUUCUCUCUUCUUCCCCACGUUCACUGUCACACUUAACCUCACCAGCGUCUCUGUUUCUCUAGCCCAGUUACGGACAAAACCAAACAUAAAAUAAAUAGCUUCCUAUUUGUCCCCUUAACACAACUAAAAUAAGCUGAUAUUUUCAAAGGAACUUUGCUAGAAAACAAAUGGACACGAGAGAAAAAAAUAACAAUGACAUUGUAAGACAUGUGACAGUGGUCCCUUUUCUGGUGCCUGACUCAUCCGAUAUGCAGGCCCUGUUCCAUCCCACAUCCUGUCUGAAGGGCUCAUGACUGGGGAUCCCAAGAGGAUAACAGACUUUAGGAUCCAAAGGCCCGGAGGCCACUUCUGUGCUCAUUCGCUCCCACUUGAAAUCAUCCUUUGGAGUUUUCUGUGGGUAAUUUUAAUAAAAAUGGGGACUGCUGUGCAGUUUUAUUUUCCCCUGCUUCCUAGCCAGAUAUGUGUAAAUCAGAGGAUCUGUCUUUUGUUUAUUUUGAAAUACUGAGGUCAUAAAAUACCUGCUUACGAGAUUACAUGAUUGCUGAAAGAUAAGCUACACAAAACAGAACCCAGAACAAUGAAUAGGUGUUACAUGGAGGGAGACUUCAUCGCAGUACCAGGAAAAAUUUUCUAACAAAUAGACCUGUCCGCAAAGGAGCUUGGAUUCCUCAAAAGCAGCUCAGCAGGAAGGAAUUGCUGCCUGAACUAGAUUGAGAACUCAGAGGAUUUCUUCACUCCUGUCUUUUCACAACCGUCCUCUCAUCGGAACUAGGAAAAUUAUUGACUAUUCCUAUCGCAGAAGGCAAGAUAUUACAGCUUUGGAGGUGUGCAUUGUGCAGCUUACCAAAACAGAGUGAUGACAGAGCUUGGAAAGAAUGGAUAGAAGAGCUUAUCAAACUAGAAAUAUAUGGGAACUUCACAAUCAUUGAGAUCAACAUGUUAUUAUGGGUUUGCAAAGAACUUCAAGCAUUUUCUCUCAACCCAGACAACGAGUCCAGUUUACAGAAGAAGAAACUGAGGUUCAGAGAAGUUAAAGUGAUCGCUCUAUGGUAAUUCAGCUAAUAAAUGCCAAAGUCCGGAUACAAAUUCAGAAACGUCUAACUCCAAAGCGUGUGUGCAUUCAUUGUCUCAUAUUGGCUCUCUGGUAAUGGUAUUAUCCUGUCUAAGGGAAGAAGCACUUAAGGAAGACUUCUAAUUUUCAAGCAAAAAGGGAAUAUGUAAAGUCUAAGAAUGCUCAACUCUUCAAUAAAGAGAUAAGAAUAAAUGACUUUUGGGUGACAAAGAAUAUAUUUUGUUUAGCUUUAAAAGUAGGUAGGAAGUUGAAGUGGUCUACUAAAGAGAGCUGUGGCAUUAAGGUGUAGAUAAUUAUCUAUCUUAAAUAGUUAUAUGGAACUGUCCAAAAGAAGACAGACAAAAGAAAUCCUAAAAAUUAGCCCUUAAAAUUCAUGUUCUCCUAGCUAUGGCAGGCCAUGAUGAAAUGCUAAGAAAUUUGUUGUUGUUGUUAGGUGUUUUCGAGUCAGUUCCUACUUACAGUGAUCUUGUCUAUGUACAACAGAAAGAAAUACUGCCCGGUCCUGCGCCAUCCUCACAAUCAUUGAUAUCCUUGAGUCUAUUGUUGUAGCCACUGUGUCAAUGCAUUUCGUUGAGGGUCUUCCACUCUUUUGCUGACCCUCUACUUUACCAAGCAUGAUGUCAUUCUCCAGGGACUGGUCCCUUCUGAUAACAUGUUCAAAGUAUGUGAGAUGAAGUCUCGCCAUCCUUGCUUCUAAGGAGAAUUCUGGCUGUACUUCUUCCAAGGCAGAUUUGUUUGUUCUUCUGGAAUUCCAUGGUACAUUCAAUAUCGUUCACCAGCAUCAUAAUUCAAAGGCAUCAAUUCUGCAUUCUUCUUUAUUUGUUGUCCAGCUUAAAAAUUUU